rnacentral:rRNA from 1 species
UACGUAGGGGGCAAGCGUUGUCCGGAAUCAUUGGGCGUAAAGCGCGUGUAGGCGGCCCGGUAAGUUCGCUGUGAAAGUCGGGGGCUCAACCCUCGAAUGCCGGUGGAUACUGUCGGGCUAGAGUGCGGGAGAGGCGAGUGGAAUUCCUGGUGUAGCGGUGAAAUGCGCAGAUAUCAGGAGGAACACCAAUUGCGAAGGCAGCUCGCUGGAACGUAACUGACGCUGAGACGCGAAAGCGUGGGGAGCAAACAGG